rnacentral:rRNA from 1 species
UGGGGAAUUUUGGACAAUGGGCGAAAGCCUGAUCCAGCAAUGCCGCGUGUGUGAAGAAGGCCUUCGGGUUGUAAAGCACUUUUGUCCGGAAAGAAAUCCUUGGCUCUAAUACAGUCGGGGGAUGACGGUACCGGAAGAAUAAGCACCGGCUAACUACGUGCCAGCAGCCGCGGUAAUACGUAGGGUGCAAGCGUUAAUCGGAAUUACUGGGCGUAAAGCGUGCGCAGGCGGUUUGCUAAGACCGAUGUGAAAAUCCCCGGGCUCAACCUGGGAACUGCAUUGGUGACUGGCAGGCUAGAGUAUGGCAGAGGGGGGUAGAAUUCCACGUGUAGCAGUGAAAUGCGUAGAGAUGUGGAGGAAUACCGAUGGCGAAAGGCAGCCCCCUGGGCCAAUACUGACGCUCAUGCACGAAAAGCGUGGGGAGCAAAACAGGAUUAGAUACCCUGGUAGUCCACGCCCUAAAACGAUGUCAACUAGUUGUUGGGGAUUCAUUUCCUUAGUAACGUAGCUAACGCGUGAAGUUGACCGCCUGGGGAGUACGGUCGCAAAGAUUAAAAACUUAAAGGAAUUGACGGGGUCAUAGCUGUUUCCU